UAAAAAGAUAACGUAAGAGCCACUUGACUCUGGCGAAGACCGGGGGAAUCAGGAAGCCAGUGCUGCCUGGGAAAUAUUUGGUUGAAUAACACAAGCGAACUGGCAGCACAUUUCUGAAGACAUUCUGGGAAACCCGUAGGAGGAGGCAUCCUGGAUGUGCCCACGUUGAGGCAGCCUGGCACAAAGAGUGACAGAUGUCCGAUAUGUCUGGCUGGGAUUUGCAGAGAGAUGAUUCGGGCAUCGUCUCUGGCUGACCAGGUCCGUUUUCCUCAGAUGAAUCGCCGUUCCCCAAACCAUAUGCACUCCACGAAGCAUCCAACUACAAUAUGAAAGGAUUGGGGGUCCAAACCAAACACAUGCAAUUGUCCUUGCAAGCUUCAACCUUGCAAAUGAACUCCAAAUAUGCAAUGUUAAUGGGAAAGAAAUGUAUUUUACCAGACCGACUGACAAAAUCAUUAGCUGUUAUGAUUUGUUCAUGUGUGCGGAGUUGUCUUAGCCAUGCUAAGUAGUCCAUGUAUUUAUGUAUUCACAGAUAUGUUUGCCGUUGAACGAGUAAAAUUGAUUUUAAUCCAA